GUGCCAGCAGCCGCGGUAAAACGUAGGAGGCGAGCGUUAUCCGGAUUUACUGGGUGUAAAGCGCGUGCAGGCGGAUCGGAAAGUUGGAUGUGAAAGCUCCCGGCUUAACUGGGAGAGGUCGUUCAAAACUACCGGUCUUGAGUACAGUAGAGGGAAGUGGAAUUCCGGGUGUAGUGGUGAAAUGCGUAGAUAUCCGGAGGAAUACCAGCGGCGAAAGCGGCUUUCUGGACUGUAACUGACGCUCAGACGCGAAAGCUAGGGUAGCAAACGGGAUUAGAGACCCCGGUAGUCCUAGCUGUAAACCAUGUAGACUUGGCGUCGGUGGGUUUAAAUCCAUCGGUGUCGAAGCUAACGCGAUAAGUCUACCGCCUGGGGACUACGGCCGCAAGGUUAAAACUUAAAUGAAUUGGCGG
rnacentral:rRNA from 1 species